rnacentral:lncRNA from 1 species
AAGCUGGUCUCAAACUCCUGACCUCAAGUUAUCUGCCUGCCUUGGCCUCUCGAAGUGCUGGGAUUAUAGGCGUGAGCCACUGCACCCUGCCAUGGAUAUGGACAACUGAUUUCUGAACACCUGGGAAGAACACAGGAUUGGCAUUGCUGUGAGGGCCUCUGCCAUACCGGGCUCUCCAGGCCAAGGCAAGACAGAGAGUGACCUGGGAGCACCUUUGUUGUGCCAUCUAUAGCAAAAAGACACUUGGGUGCAAGUGGGAAUCUUGAGUCACUUUGAGGAGCAUUGCACAAAGCCCUAUGUCUUCAGCCAAGUGCACCCUUUCCUUUUCUGGCUCCAGGAAGUGACAUGGCCUAGCCAUGCAUCCUGGCACCACCAAGGGCCCGUGACUGCCUCUGCUUCCAUGUCCCUUUCAGUCUCUACCUCUACAAAUGCCUCAGCUUUUACCUCCACUCCCAAUUCCAUUCGGCCACACUACAUCUCUCUGCCACAGCCUCAGAGAAUCCUGAAGACACUGCUGUGAUUAUUGGCCUGACGCACCCUGUGGUACCACUGAGAGUUGUGAAGUUGUCUACCAUUCUACUGCAUGAGUUGCAGUAGAACCCCUGGCUGGUGAGAGGGGCAGCAAGAAAUGACCUGACAUUGCUACUCCUCCAAGAUGUCCAGACUACCAUUCGGCUCUUAGUACCCUUAGGGAGAGACUGAUGAGAAUCCAGAAAUGUUAAAGAUGCAAGUGAUGGAAGCUUCCAGCUGUGCCCACCUGUAACCUGACAUAGUUCCAUUGUUUGCUUCAUUACUCAGGCCAAAGACUCUAAUGCAAAUGUGGAGUCAGUGUGUCCAGGAAGUGACAUUAUCUGCAGACCAAUACUGGCAAUGGCAGUUGGAGACAAAUAGGCUUCACCAGUCUCAAAGCCCUACCUACUACAAUGAGUCCACACUUCUCCUGGAUUUUAUCUACUUCAGCAAAAGAAGGCCACCCACCAAACCAGGCCAUUGUGCUUUGGGUGGAAACUCCUAAGUCCUAUAGUCUCCUUAAACAGCCAACCACACUGCCACUUUCCUCAAUAAUUACUGCAGCCCUGAGACUUUGGUAGCCUAGUAACUAUAACUACUGAUGCUACAGUCUGGUCACAGUAUGAUAAAACACCAGAGCAACAAAAACAAAAAUAUUGACUUAAGCCUUCUAAAAUCUCUCUAAAUAUACCUUCAAUAAAUAUGUUUUUUUCUACAGAACAACUGCUUUCUACUUCCUGAACUAACGUUUGGCCUUGGAUUUUUCUCAUUGUUGAAAUUGAUUCAAAAGUAUACAUUUAACAUGAAGGUGAUUAUAGAAUUUCAUGUGUCAGCAACUAAAAUUUUCAAAAUGAU